rnacentral:lncRNA from 1 species
UUGUCACCAGAAAGUACAUUUAAUUAUUUCAACCCAUGAGAGUACUCUGUACAGCCCAGUGCUGUACUAGGGACACAACAACGAACAAGACAGACAUGGGCCCUGUCAUCACGAAGGUCACACAACAGAAGGGUCAGGAUUAAACAAGGAAAAUCAAUAUGGAAUGGUGGAAGAAUUCAAGACUGGAAGCAGGAGGACAAUCAGUGCUGCUGCGACAGAUGACAGCCUCGGCUGGGAUAGUGGCUGCUGGGCUGAGAAGAGUAGAAGAUUAAAAAGAUCCAGAGGAAGUAAAAUCAACAGGGGUUGGCCAUCGGGAAGUCACUCAAGAUGAGAGAAGUGAUGACAGGAGCUUCAAAGGAAGAAGGGUGUUUCAACAAGGAUGAAGGCUGAUUACUGGCAGGCAGCAGAGGAGAGACAGAAUAUUAGCAAACCCACCUCAAUCGAAACAGGGAGAUGUAGAGGAGAGAUCGGCUUCCCGCAGGAGGAAAGCAAGAGAAAGCACUACCCUUAGGGGAACAAGUGUUGUCAGAAGAGCCUGAGGGGACUCUUUUCAAAAUGGAGUGCAGUUUCCAGAGAAGACUGGGAAAGGGUGAGAUGGAGAUCAACGGAGUAGAAACAGAGGAGAAGGAGAUAUGAAAACAGGAUGGAACUAAUGCCUAUAAAGUCCUAGUCUUGGGGUGGUGACAGAGUGAGAGAUGUGGCUGGAGCUUCAACCAGUUGUGA